UCGAGCGGACAGAUGGGAGCUUGCUCCCUGAUGUUAGCGGCGGACGGGUGAGUAACACGUGGGUAACCUGCCUGUAAGACUGGGAUAACUCCGGGAAACCGGGGCUAAUACCGGAUGGUUGUUUGAACCGCAUGGUUCAAACAUAAAAGGUGGCUUCGGCUACCACUUACAGAUGGACCCGCGGCGCAUUAGCUAGUUGGUGAGGUAACGGCUCACCAAGGCGACGAUGCGUAGCCGACCUGAGAGGGUGAUCGGCCACACUGGGACUGAGACACGGCCCAGACUCCUACGGGAGGCAGCAGUAGGGAAUCUUCCGCAAUGGACGAAAGUCUGACGGAGCAACGCCGCGUGAGUGAUGAAGGUUUUCGGAUCGUAAAGCUCUGUUGUUAGGGAAGAACAAGUGCCGUUCAAAUAGGGCGGCACCUUGACGGUACCUAACCAGAAAGCCACGGCUAACUACGUGCCAGCAGCCGCGGUAAUACGUAGGUGGCAAGCGUUGUCCGGAAUUAUUGGGCGUAAAGGGCUCGCAGGCGGUUUCUUAAGUCUGAUGUGAAAGCCCCCGGCUCAACCGGGGAGGGUCAUUGGAAACUGGGGAACUUGAGUGCAGAAGAGGAGAGUGGAAUUCCACGUGUAGCGGUGAAAUGCGUAGAGAUGUGGAGGAACACCAGUGGCGAAGGCGACUCUCUGGUCUGUAACUGACGCUGAGGAGCGAAAGCGUGGGGAGCGAACAGGAUUAGAUACCCUGGUAGUCCACGCCGUAAACGAUGAGUGCUAAGUGUUAGGGGGUUUCCGCCCCUUAGUGCUGCAGCUAACGCAUUAAGCACUCCGCCUGGGGAGUACGGUCGCAAGACUGAAACUCAAAGG
rnacentral:rRNA from 1 species